ACUUGCUUCGUCAUGACUUAUACUAAAAUUGGAACAAUGCAGAGAUUAGCAUGGCCCUUGAGAGGGGAUGACAUGCAAAUUCAUGAAGAACUCCAUCAUUUU